ACAAAAUUAGUUCCCAUCGACAUUAGGUAAGUAACUGUCAACAACAUGUCUGUCGCGAUGUAUGCGAGACUGUAUCUCCAGAGAUUUUCACACCCCCUGCGUUCACAAGGUUGGCAGCUAUAAAGAUAUCAGUGUCGAGGGCAUGGUCCUUCUUCACGUGCUGGAACCUCGAAUUGGUGCGACACAGUACUAGUCAAAAGUUUGGACACCUACUCAUUCCAGGGUUUUUCUCUGCCACAGCAUUCUGCAGCGAUAUGCCAUCCCAUCUGGUUUGCGCUUAGUGGGGCUAUCAUUUAUUUUUCACCAGGACAAUGACCCAAAACACACCUCCAGGUUGUGUAAGGGCUAUUUGAUCAAGAAGGAGAGUGAUGGAGUGCUGCAUCAGAUGACCUGACCUCCACAAUCACCUGACCUCAACCCAAUUGAGAUGGUUUGGGAUGAGUUGGACCUCAGUGAAGGAAAAGCAGCCAACAAGUGCUCAGCAUAUGUGGGAACUCCUUCAACACUGUUGGAAAAGCAUUCCAGGUGAAGCUGGUUAAGAGAAUGCUAAGAGUAUGCAAAGCUGUCAUCAAGGCAAAGGGUGGCUACCUUGAAGAAUCUCAAAUAUAUUUAGAUUUGUUUAACACAUUUUUUGGUUACUACAUGAUUCCAUAUGUGUUAUUUUAUUGUUUUUUUGUCUUCACUAUUAUUCCACAAUGUUGAAAAUAGUACAAAUAAAGAAAAACCCUUGAAUGAGUAGGUGUCCAAACUUCUGACUGGUACUGUAAUUGAAUUAUACUUCAGUCAAGAUGACACAAAUUAUGAUAGACAAAAAAUGUGAUACUCAAAUGUAUAAAUACACAACCUCAUGUACUUCUGUCUUUGCAUCUUGCAUUUUCCUGGCAUAUACCGACAAAAUAAACACAGUGAAUUAUAGGUCAUUUGUUAUAAAUAGUUGAAAGUUCAUACUUCAAAUGUUUUUGUGAAUUCCACUUCAGAGUUAUGGCUAUAGUGUAUGUCUGUAUGGUCAUGAUUUGUCUCAUGAAUGAUAUGUGUCCACAGAGGUCCUGGAUACAGGGGGUCAGAUUUGAUUGAUCCCAAAAUCCUGGCCCUUCUCCGGAGCAAAGGCAUCACUGUGGAGGUGCAGGACACAGUAGGGACACCUGACAUCAACUGACAUCUGUCUACAGUAUUAGGGAUGUGUGGUUGUGCAAUAUAUUUCAGUACAUGAGCAUUUAUAGACAUGUUUACCCAAGCCUGGUUUAGAAUAUCCUCUUAAGAGAUUUCUCUCACAGUAAGUUACUGUGUGCCACCACAGCUCCAUCCAUACACAGACAUGGGCAGCCCCUGCCUAUAGAAUGUGUAGGGCAGCUAUGAUUUGCAUUUUUCUUCUCUCUGACACUCAUCCCUUCUCCUUCCUCAGCCAAACGCUUGUGCAACUUCCUGAGCAGUGAAAGGUGAGUGGUGGCGGCUGGUCUGAUUCUUCCUCCAAUCAGCACAGAGCUAGAGUAGUCUAGCAACAACAACAUGAGGUAUUUUUGGAAAAGAGGGAUUUGAUGGAAAAGAGGAUGUUUGUUCACCACUCUAGGAUGCAUGAUCUGGGUCAAUUUGUCCUUAUUCAGUAUGCUGAAUAAGGACAGAUUCAGAUGCUGUAUGUUUUUUGCAAUUGCACUCCUUGCUCGAAGGUUGUAUCAUGGUUUUAUGUGAACAGGGUGAGACAUUUCUAGAAGUUUGUGUGUGUACGGGAAGAUGAAAAUGAAAAAGAGAAGUGGAGUGUGUUGGCAAUUAUGUAUUUCUGAGCAUUGGAGGAUAUGAUUUGGAGGGGGUGUUUUAGUGGUUUUUAUCUGUAUCAUUGUAAAUACAUGUGGCAUGUUACCAUUGAAGCAAUAAACAAUAUCUACAACA